GAGCACCUACGGGACGCAGCAGUGGGGAAUAUUGCACAAUGGGGGAAACCCUGAUGCAGCGACGCCGCGUGAGUGAGGAAGUAUUUCGGUAUGUAAAGCUCUAUCAGCAGGGAAGAAAAUGACGGUACCUGACUAAGAAGCCCCGGCUAACUACGUGCCAGCAGCCGCGGUAAUACGUAGGGGGCAAGCGUUAUCCGGAUUUACUGGGUGUAAAGGGAGCGUAGACGGCAGCGCAAGUCUGGAGUGAAAUGCCGGGGCCCAACCCCGGAACUGCUCUGGAAACUGUGAAGCUGGAGUGCAAGAGG
rnacentral:rRNA from 1 species